rnacentral:sRNA from 1 species
GAGGGUCGUAACUCAGACAUUCCCACCACUUAUUCAAAGCACACUGGGUCACAGGUCCAGAGUCUUACACCAGCUCAAGAAGUCCUCCUGCUGCCUUCCCUUAACCCUUCCUUUGGAUCUGGGGGCCCUAGUUUCUAGCUCUUUGGGGGUGCUUGGGAUAGCAAGAGAGCCGGUGGGCAACAGCUGCUUCUCUCUCCCUAGGAGGCCACAUCAACAGUCAUGAUGUGUGGAUGUUUAGCUCCCAUCUGCACACCUGGAUCAAGGUAGCCUCUCUGCACAAGGGCAGGUGGAGGCACAAGAUGGCAGUUGUGCAGGGGCAGGUAGGCACGAGCUGCAGCGGCUGCCCUGGGACACAAGCUGUUCGCGGUGGGUGGCUUCGACGGCCUGAGGCGCCUGCACAGCGUGGAGCGCUACGACCCCUUCUCCAACACCU